rnacentral:rRNA from 1 species
UACAGAGGUGGCGAGCGUUAUUCGGAAUUAUUGGGCGUAAAGGGCGCGUAGGCGGCUUGUUAAGUCCCGGGUGAAAUCCCUCGGCUCAACCGAGGAACUGCCUUGGAAACUGUCUGGCUUGAGGCCGGGAGAGGGUAGUGGAAUUCCCAGUGUAGCGGUGAAAUGCGUAGAUACUGGGAGGAACACCGGUGGCGAAGGCGGCUACCUGGACCGGUUCUGACGCUGAGGCGCGAAAGCGUGGGUAGCAAACAGG